CACGUAGGGGGCAAGCGUUGUCCGGAUUUAUUGGGCGUAAAGAGCUCGUAGGCGGCUCAGUAAGUCAGGUGUGAAACCUCCAGGCUCAACCUGGAGACGCCACCUGAUACUGCUGUGGCUAGAGUCCGGUAGGGGAGCGUGGAAUUCCUGGUGUAGCGGUGAAAUGCGCAGAUAUCAGGAGGAACACCAGCGGCGGAAGGCGGCGCUCUGGGCCGGUACUGACGCUGAGGAGCGAAAGCGUGGGUAGCAAACAGG
rnacentral:rRNA from 1 species